rnacentral:sRNA from 1 species
UGAAGCAAAAGAGAGAAGCAGCCUUACAUGGAUGGCAGUAAGGACUUAUCUCUGAUAGCCAAGGAUGACUUGCCUGUGUCCUCCCUGAAGGAUUAGCAAUUUAAUGAUCCUUUAAGCUGGUUCAUGGGCAGUCUCCUUGGCUAGCCUGAGUGGUUCUUAUUGCUCAUGCUAGGCUUAAUUGCAUCUCUAAUAUCCUACAUUCCU